rnacentral:misc_RNA from 1 species
GAUGAAGAACGCAGCGAAAUGCGAUAAGUAAUGUGAAUUGCAGAAUUCAGUGAAUCAUCGAAUCUUUGAACGCACAUUGCGCCCGCCAGUAUUCUGGCGGGCAUGCCUGUUCGAGCGUCAUUUCAACCAUCAAGCCCCCGGCUUGUGUUGGGAACCUGCGGCUGCCGCAGGCCCUGAAAUGCAGUGGCGGGCUCGCUGUCACUCCGAGCGUAGUAGUUACAUCUCGCUCUGGGCGUGCUGCGGGUUCCGGCCGUUAAAAGCCUUAUUUACCCAAGGUUGACCUCGGAUCAGGUAGGAAGACCCGCUGAACUUAAGCAUAUCAAUAAGCGGAGGA